GGUUGAUACAGAAAAGAUUAGCAUGGUCUCUGUGCAAGGAUGAUAUGUAAAUUCAAAAAAGCAUUCCAUAUAUUC
rnacentral:snRNA from 1 species